rnacentral:rRNA from 1 species
UGGGGAAUUUUGGACAAUGGGCGAAAGCCUGAUCCAGCAAUGCCGCGUGUGUGAAGAAGGCCUUCGGGUUGUAAAGCACUUUUGUCCGGAAAGAAAUCCUUGGCUCUAAUACAGUCGGGGGAUGACGGUACCGGAAGAAUAAGCACCGGCUAACUACGUGCCAGCAGCCGCGGUAAUACGUAGGGUGCAAGCGUUAAUCGGAAUUACUGGGCGUAAAGCGUGCGCAGGCGGUUUGCUAAGACCGAUGUGAAAUCCCCGGGCUCAACCUGGGAACUGCAUUGGUGACUGGCAGGCUAGAGUAUGGCAGAGGGGGGUAGAAUUCCACGUGUAGCAGUGAAAUGCGUAGAGAUGUGGAGGAAUACCGAUGGCGAAGGCAGCCCCCUGGGCCAAUACUGACGCUCAUGCACGAAAGCGUGGGGAGCAAACAGGAUUAGAUACCCUGGCAGUCCACGCCCUAAACGAUGUCAACUAGUUGUUGGGGAUUCAUUUCCUUAGUAACGUAGCUAACGCGUGAAGUUGACCGCCUGGGGAGUACGGUCGCAAGAUUAAAACUCAAAUGAAUUGACGGGGUCAUAGCUGUUUCCU